rnacentral:lncRNA from 1 species
AAAAGAAAGAAAAAUAGAGGAAAGAAAAAGGGAGAACGGGAAAGGGAAGAAGGAAGUUGGUGAUGGAAGAUUCAAAGAGAGAGGAAGUCGGAAAGGGAAGAAACGAGAAGAGUGAGCUGAAGAAGGAGGAAAGCGACUGUGCAAGCUACGGAAGUGCGGAAAAAUGGAGACCGGAGGUAUGGUGACUUAAAUAUUGAAUAUAGAAUGAUGAAAUUUGAAUUUAUUUCUGUAAAUACUGAAGGAAGAUAUAAACAGUAAAGGAAAUGGAAAUUUGGAACUAGUGAUUGAUGAAAUCAGAAAGGGGAGGGAGAUUGCAG